rnacentral:rRNA from 1 species
CGCCUCCUGCAAAAAACUAAGUAUAGGAGGUCCAGCCUGCCCAGUGACUAUAAGUUCAACGGCCGCGGUAUUUUGACCGUGCAAAGGUAGCGCAAUCACUUGUCUUUUAAAUGAAGACCCGUAUGAAUGGCUAAACGAGGGCUUAGCUGUCUCCCCUUUCCAGUCAGUGAAAUUGAUUUACCCGUGCAGAAGCGGGUAUAUAACUACAAGACGAGAAGACCCUUUGGAGCUUAAGGUACAGACCCAAUCGCGUCAAACAACUUGCCAAAGAGCCCGAACUUAGCGAAUACUGGAAUCUUACCUUCGGUUGGGGCGACCACGGAGGAAAAAAUAGCCUCCGAGUGGACCGGGAUUAUUACCCUAAAGUCAAGAGGGACACCUCUAAGCCACAGAACAUCUGACCAAAUAUGAUCCGGCCACACAGGCCGAUCAACGAACCAAGUUACCCUAGGGAUAACAGCGCAAUCCUCUCCCAGAGUCCAUAUCGACGAGGGGGUUUACGACCUCGAUGUUGGAUCAGGACAUCCUAAUGGUGCAGCCGCUAUUAAGGGUUCGUUUGUUCAACGAUUAAAGUCCU